GACGAACGCUGGCGGCGUGCUUAACACAUGCAAGUCGAACGGAAAGGCCCUGCCUUUGUGGGGUGCUCGAGUGGCGAACGGGUGAGUAACACGUGAGUAACCUGCCUUUGACUUUGGGAUAACUUCAGGAAACUGGGGCUAAUACCGGAUAGGAGCUCCUGCUGCAUGGUGGGGGUUGGAAAGUUUCGGCGGUUGGGGAUGGACUCGCGGCUUAUCAGCUUGUUGGUGGGGUAGUGGCUUACCAAGGCUUUGACGGGUAGCCGGCCUGAGAGGGUGACCGGCCACAUUGGGACUGAGAUACGGCCCAGACUCCUACGGGAGGCAGCAGUGGGGAAUAUUGCACAAUGGGCGGAAGCCUGAUGCAGCAACGCCGCGUGCGGGAUGACGGCCUUCGGGUUGUAAACCGCUUUCGCCUGUGACGAAGCGUGAGUGACGGUAAUGGGUAAAGAAGCACCGGCUAACUACGUG
rnacentral:rRNA from 1 species